CGAAAAUUCGAAAAAAAAGCUAUAUUUAGCACAUAGGUCACAGUCAAGGUCACAAGGUCAUUGACCUUGGUGUCAGUUGAAGGUGCCUAAUUAGUGGAGUAUGCAUACCAAAUAUGAAGUCUCUAUCUCUCACGGUUCAAAAGUUAUGGCGAAGGUUAAUGUUGACAACAGACAGACAAACAGACAGACAUACAGCUAAACAGACAGACAGGACAAAAACAAAAUGCGCCCCUAAAAAAUUUGGGUGCAUAAAAAAUGUCUUGGAGUUAACAGCAGUUCUCUGUUUCUCCUGAAUGUUAUGUACAAUUUGAUCGGGAUCGGAAGAAUGUUUCAAAAAGUCGGGCUCAGUGAUCAAUUAAUUUAAACAACAGACCGCCAAAAUUUAACCUUGGCUUCCAUGUUGCAACGUCUGCUCUGUCUAAAGGAGGGAGUUUGUUGACCAGACAGCCUGAGAUCGUAUUGCUGUAUCAACCAAAAGAUACAGAUACACAUAUUUCAUAUGCGGUAGCGUCUGUGCAUGAGGAGGAGAUUUCUGAAAGUGGUUAUUCAACUUACUGCUAUUUUAACAGGCUUAAAGCUUGGUCCAUGGAUGGUUAUGUUUGAGGAUUUGCCAAUUCGACCGCAAGUGCUGCUGCAAGAAAUUAAACAUGCAGUGACCUUACAAAUUACAAAGAAGUCUGAAGAAAAUUUUUAUUGCCUAUUGGACAGAUGGGUGUAAAGCACAGACUUGAGAUAUAAACUGAAUUGUGAGAAAUAUGAAUCAGGGAUCACGAUGCAGGUAGAAAAUGGCAAAUGUGAUCCAGAUUGAUAAAAAAUGU